rnacentral:misc_RNA from 1 species
GGGACUACUAGGGUAUCUAAUCCUGUUCGCUCCCCACGCUUUCGAGCCUCAGCGUCAGUUACAGACCAGAGAGCCGCUUUCGCCACCGGUGUUCCUCCAUAUAUCUACGCAUUUCACCGCUACACAUGGAAUUCCACUCUCCCCUUCUGCACUCAAGUUUGACAGUUUCCAAAGCGAACUAUGGUUGAGCCACAGCCUUUAACUUCAGACUUAUCAAACCGCCUGCGCUCGCUUUACGCCCAAUAAAUCCGGACAACGCUCGGGACCUACGUAUUACCGCGGCUGCUGGCACGUAGUUAGCCGUCCCUUUCUGGUAAGCUACCGUCACAGUGUGAACUUUCCACUCUCACACUCGUUCUUGACUUACAACAGAGCUUUACGAUCCGAAAACCUUCUUCAC